UACGGGGGGGGCAAGCGUUGUUCGGAAUUACUGGGCGUAAAGGGUUCGUAGGUGGCGUGCUAAGUCAGACGUGAAAUCCCUCAGCUUAACUGGGGAACUGCGUCUGAGACUGGCAGGCUUGAGGACAGGAGAGGAACGCGGAAUUCCAGGUGUAGCGGUGAAAUGCGUAGAUAUCUGGAGGAACACCGGUGGCGAAGGCGGCGUUCUGGACUGUUUCUGACACUGAGGAACGAAAGCCAGGGGAGCAAACGGG
rnacentral:rRNA from 1 species